rnacentral:rRNA from 1 species
GGGUUGUGAGGUUAAGCGACUAAGCGUACACGGUGGAUGCCCGGCAGUCAGAGGCGAUGAAGGACGUGCUAAUCUGCGAUAAGCGUCGGUAAGGUGAUAUGAACCGUUAUAACCGGCGAUUUCCGAAUGGGGAAACCCAGUGUGUUUCGACACACUAUCAUUAACUGAAUCCAUAGGUUAAUGAGGCGAACCGGGGGAACUGAAACAUCUAAGUACCCCGAGGAAAAGAAAUCAACCGAGAUUCCCCCAGUAGCGGCGAGCGAACGGGGAGCAGCCCAGAGCCUGAAUCAGUGUGUGUGUUAGUGGAAGCGUCUGGAAAGGCGCGCGAUACAGGGUGACAGCCCCGUACACAAAAAUGCACAUGCUGUGAGCUCGAUGAGUAGGGCGGGACACGUGGUAUCCUGUCUGAAUAUGGGGGACCAUCCUCCAAGGCUAAAUACUCCUGACUGACCGAUAGUGAACCAGUACCGUGAGGGAAAGGCGAAAAGAACCCCGGCGAGGGGAGUGAAAAAGAACCUGAAACCGUGUACGUACAAGCAGUGGGAGCACGCUUAGGCGUGUGACUGCGUACCUUUUGUAUAAUGGGUCAGCGACUUAUAUUCUGUAGCAAGGUUAACCGAAUAGGGGAGCCGAAGGGAAACCGAGUCUUAACUGGGCGUUAAGUUGCAGGGUAUAGACCCGAAACCCGGUGAUCUAGCCAUGGGCAGGUUGAAGGUUGGGUAACACUAACUGGAGGACCGAACCGACUAAUGUUGAAAAAUUAGCGGAUGACUUGUGGCUGGGGGUGAAAGGCCAAUCAAACCGGGAGAUAGCUGGUUCUCCCCGAAAGCUAUUUAGGUAGCGCCUCGUGAAUUCAUCUCCGGGGGUAGAGCACUGUUUCGGCAAGGGGGUCAUCCCGACUUACCAACCCGAUGCAAACUGCGAAUACCGGAGAAUGUUAUCACGGGAGACACACGGCGGGUGCUAACGUCCGUCGUGAAGAGGGAAACAACCCAGACCGCCAGCUAAGGUCCCAAAGUCAUGGUUAAGUGGGAAACGAUGUGGGAAGGCCCAGACAGCCAGGAUGUUGGCUUAGAAGCAGCCAUCAUUUAAAGAAAGCGUAAUAGCUCACUGGUCGAGUCGGCCUGCGCGGAAGAUGUAACGGGGCUAAACCAUGCACCGAAGCUGCGGCAGCGACGCUGAUGCGUUGUUGGGUAGGGGAGCGUUCUGUAAGCCUGCGAAGGUGUGCUGUGAGGCAUGCUGGAGGUAUCAGAAGUGCGAAUGCUGACAUAAGUAACGAUAAAGCGGGUGAAAAGCCCGCUCGCCGGAAGACCAAGGGUUCCUGUCCAACGUUAAUCGGGGCAGGGUGAGUCGACCCCUAAGGCGAGGCCGAAAGGCGUAGUCGAUGGGAAACAGGUUAAUAUUCCUGUACUUGGUGUUACUGCGAAGGGGGGACGGAGAAGGCUAUGUUGGCCGGGCGACGGUUGUCCCGGUUUAAGCGUGUAGGCUGGUUUUCCAGGCAAAUCCGGAAAAUCAAGGCUGAGGCGUGAUGACGAGGCACUACGGUGCUGAAGCAACAAAUGCCCUGCUUCCGAGGAAAAGCCUCUAAGCAUCAGGUAACAUCAAAUCGUACCCCAAACCGACACAGGUGGUCAGGUAGAGAAUACCAAGGCGCUUGAGAGAACUCGGGUGAAGGAACUAGGCAAAAUGGUGCCGUAACUUCGGGAGAAGGCACGCUGAUAUGUAGGUGAAGUCCCUCGCGGAUGGAGCUGAAAUCAGUCGAAGAUACCAGCUGGCUGCAACUGUUUAUUAAAAACACAGCACUGUGCAAACACGAAAGUGGACGUAUACGGUGUGACGCCUGCCCGGUGCCGGAAGGUUAAUUGAUGGGGUUAGCCGCAAGGCGAAGCUCUUGAUCGAAGCCCCGGUAAACGGCGGCCGUAACUAUAACGGUCCUAAGGUAGCGAAAUUCCUUGUCGGGUAAGUUCCGACCUGCACGAAUGGCGUAAUGAUGGCCAGGCUGUCUCCACCCGAGACUCAGUGAAAUUGAACUCGCUGUGAAGAUGCAGUGUACCCGCGGCAAGACGGAAAGACCCCGUGAACCUUUACUAUAGCUUGACACUGAACAUUGAGCCUUGAUGUGUAGGAUAGGUGGGAGGCUUGGAAGUGUGGACGCCAGUCUGCAUGGAGCCGACCUUGAAAUACCACCCUUUAAUGUUUGAUGUUCUAACGUUGACCCGUAAUCCGGGUUGCGGACAGUGUCUGGUGGGUAGUUUGACUGGGGCGGUCUCCUCCUAAAGAGUAACGGAGGAGCACGAAGGUUGGCUAAUCCUGGUCGGACAUCAGGAGGUUAGUGCAAUGGCAUAAGCCAGCUUGACUGCGAGCGUGACGGCGCGAGCAGGUGCGAAAGCAGGUCAUAGUGAUCCGGUGGUUCUGAAUGGAAGGGCCAUCGCUCAACGGAUAAAAGGUACUCCGGGGAUAACAGGCUGAUACCGCCCAAGAGUUCAUAUCGACGGCGGUGUUUGGCACCUCGAUGUCGGCUCAUCACAUCCUGGGGCUGAAGUAGGUCCCAAGGGUAUGGCUGUUCGCCAUUUAAAGUGGUACGCGAGCUGGGUUUAGAACGUCGUGAGACAGUUCGGUCCCUAUCUGCCGUGGGCGCUGGAGAACUGAGGGGGGCUGCUCCUAGUACGAGAGGACCGGAGUGGACGCAUCACUGGUGUUCGGGUUGUCAUGCCAAUGGCACUGCCCGGUAGCUAAAUGCGGAAGAGAUAAGUGCUGAAAGCAUCUAAGCACGAAACUUGCCCCGAGAUGAGUUCUCCCUGACUCCUUGAGAGUCCUGAAGGAACGUUGAAGACGACGACGUUGAUAGGCCGGGUGUGUAAGCGCAGCGAUGCGUUGAGCUAACCGGUACUAAUGAACCGUGAGGCUUAACCUUACAACGCCGAAGGUGUUU